CAGCCGCCGCGGGAAUACAGAGGGUGCGAGCGUUAAUCGGAUUUACUGGGCGUAAAGCGUGCGUAGGCGGCUUUUUAAGUCGGAUGUGAAAUCCAUGAGCUUAACUUAGGAAUUGCAUUCGAUACUGGGAAGCUAGAGUAUGGGAGAGGAUGGUAGAAUUCCAGGUGUAGCGGUGAAAUGCGUAGAGAUCUGGAGGAAUACCGAUGGCGAAGGCAGCCAUCUGGCCUAAUACUGACGCUGAGGUACGAAAGCAUGGGGAGCAAACAGGAUUAGAUACCCCUGUAGUCCCUGUCUCUUAUAC
rnacentral:rRNA from 1 species